CACGCUCCAAACCUUAUCCCCUUUGGCCCCAUUGCUCCAGAUCCACCACGCACACCGCCGCCAUAGGUGCCCUCUCCGGCCGACGGCGGCGCUACGCGUCGCCACCACUCUGUGCCCCUCUUUCUCCCACCUCUCCAUCGCUAUCCCCACAUGGCUGCUGUUUUCCCACGUCGAGGCGGGCAUGUGCCGGCGCCGCCAUCACGCAGACCAGCUAGAUCUAAGUGGGACAAACCUUCGCUCCGGGUGGUCUGGUCUGAGGUAGCCAGCCUCUGCUUCCUCUGCUCUGGGUGAUUAGAAGCACGGGAGAACAGGAGCUAGCCAUCCAUGGCAUAAACAACAUCGGCAAAUUAAUAUUUGUAAGUAUGGUGGAUGGUUGGGAAAAAAGGCCACCGAAAGAUGUCCAUAGUC